rnacentral:rRNA from 1 species
GUACUUUACGAAUAAGCCACGGCUAACUACGUGCCAGCAGCCGCGGUAAUACGUAGGUGGCAAGCGUUGUCCGGAUUUACUGGGUGUAAAGGGCGUGUAGCCGGGAGGGCAAGUCAGAUGUGAAAUCCACGGGCUCAACUCGUGAACUGCAUUUGAAACUACUCUUCUUGAGUAUCGGAGAGGCAAUCGGAAUUCCUAGUGUAGCGGUGAAAUGCGUAGAUAUUAGGAGGAACACCAGUGGCGAAGGCGGAUUGCUGGACGACAACUGACGGGGAGGCGCGAAAGCGUGGGGAGCCAACAGGAAUAGAUACCCUGGUAGUCCACGCUGUAAACGAUGAAUACUAGGUGUGCGGGGACUGACCCCCUGCGUGCCGCAGCUAACGCAAUAAGUAUUCCACCUGGGGAGUACGAUCGCAAGGUUGAAACUCAAAGGAAUUGACGGGGGCCCGCACAAGCGGUGGAUUAUGUGGUUUAAUUCGAAGCAACGCGAAGAACCUUACCAGGGCUUGACAUCCUACUAACGAGAUAGAGAUAUGUUAGGUGCCCUUCGGGGAAAGUAGAGACAGGUGGUGCAUGGUUGUCGUCAGCUCGUGUCGUGAGAUGUUGGGUUAAGUCCCGCAACGAGCGCAACCCCUAUUGUUAGUUGCUACGCAAGAGCACUCUAGCGAGACUGCCGUUGACAGAACGGAGGAAGGUGGGGACGACGUCAAAUCAUCAUGCCCCUUAUGAUUUGGGCUACACACGUGCUACAAUGGCAGUUACAAAGAGAAGCGAAACUGUGAAGUGGAGCAAACCUCAAAAAGGCUGUCUCAGUUCGGAUUGUAGUCUGCAACUCGACUACAUGAAGCUGGAAUCGCUAGUAAUCGCAGAUCAGAAUGCUGCGGUGAAUACGUUCCCGGGUCUUGCACACACCGCCCGUCA